UUAUUUUUUUUUUUUUUUAAUAUAUAAUUUAAAAAAAAAAAACAAUUUUUUGUUUGUUGGUGAAUGGGUGUUUUUUUUAGUUAUUAAGAUUUAGUUACAGGCUAAAUACUACUGCACAAUCUCCCAUCAAUGUAGCUUACUUACCUGAGCAGUUUUUUUUCAUAUAUGGAAUGUUUCUUGUCGGAUCGUUUUCUUGCUCGUUUUUUUUCUCCUUGCGAAAGUCUCUAAGUGGAUCAUGUUUCUGAAAUUGUGCUUACAUUUGAAAAAUUUCUAGAAAUUAUCAGGUGUGUUUUUUUUCCAUCUCUUCUCAAUUAGCCGUGGUUUACUUUUCAUGUUUAUAGAUCCGGAGCUGGAAUUACCUGCACUUUUCUCAUCCUGUGUUUACACUCAGACAGUUUGUUGCUGUGCUGAUAUUUUUUCUCUGUUUUCAGCAGAUUAUGCGCGGCUAGUUGUGUGUGCAGAAAUGCGAGCGCGUAAACAAUAUGCUCCUAGGCGAUGCCACAACGCCGCAUUUGUUUUGAGAUACAAAGAUUCAUUCAUUGUUUGCAGUUCUUAUGUUUAAUUUUUUAUUUUUUUAUUUUGGAAUUGUUUGGUAUUCAUCCUGUCUAGUUUGUAAGUAAUGUUGUAAGGGCAGUCAGGGCACCUAGGUCCCGGUGGGGAGCAGGCGCUUGGCCCCGUUUUUCCAUCAAGGGGGAGUGUCGAGGAUGCAUUUCACUGUGAUGGGAAAACGGGGCAAAGCAGUGUUGCGUGGAAAGUUCGCACGCUCUUCUCGGUGAUUCUUAGGCAACUUGGCAAGUUUCAGUGGAGGCGAAUCUUCUGCUCCUACUGAAACUUGCUGAGUCUGCUGAAAUCGCCGAGUGGCUCGUGCGAAGUUUUUCCUACGCGGCGCUGGAGCGUUUAGUCGAGUUUGUAGUGGCGAUGCCCAAGGUGUGAACGGCUGUUUUUCUCUGAAUAUACGAUCCAUGUCUUGCCCAAAAUCCAUUUUUGUGAUUUUUCCAUCUUUACCAGCGUAUCCUCGGAUUUGACAUGUAAUAUGCAGUUAACAUUUUCAAUGUGACAUCCGCAGAAAAUAUUUCGUAUAUCUCUUUCAAAUACCCAGAAAAAUGGUCGAUAAAAUUAUUUUUAAAGUGCAACUUUCAUUGGAUGAUUCAACGGUAAAAGUCUUAUCUUUAAAUCUCGGCUAUGGACAGUUGAAAAUAAAGGUAUAAAAAAGGAGUAAUUAAAUUUUAUCUCUCGUUUCAUGCCUUUCCGUAAUUACUCAGCAGUUUCCAUCCGAAUAUUCACUACUAAAUAUUUGCCUUUCACGAGGCGGCAACAACUCCGCGCUUAAGAUGUACCUAAUGAUGUUGUAGAAUAUUAAUUGUGCGUCACAACAUCCCCCUCCCUUACCUCCCCCGCGCUAAACGCGGUUCGGUUUAAUUACAUCGUAACA
rnacentral:lncRNA from 1 species